rnacentral:rRNA from 1 species
GAUGAACGCUGGCGGCGUGCCUAAUACAUGCAAGUCGAGCGAACGGACGAGAAGCUUGCUUCUCUGAUGUUAGCGGCGGACGGGUGAGUAACACGUGGAUAACCUACCUAUAAGACUGGGAUGACUUCGGGAAACCGGAGCUAAUACCGGAUAAUAUUUUGAACCGCAUGGUUCAAAAGUGAAAGACGGUCUUGCUGUCACUUAUAGAUGGAUCCGCGCUGCAUUAGCUAGUUGGUAAGGUAACGGCUUACCAAGGCAACGAUGCAUAGCCGACCUGAGAGGGUGAUCGGCCACAAGGGAACUGAGACACGGUCCAGACUCCUACGGGAGGCAGCAGUAGGGAAUCUUACGCAAUGGGCGAAAGCCUGACGGAGCAACGCCGCGUGAGUGAUGAAGGUCUUCGGAUCGUAAAACUCUGUUAUUAGGGAAGAACAUAUGUGUAAGUAACUGUGCACAUCUUGACGGUACCUAAUCAGAAAGCCACGGCUAACUACGUG